GGCGGGACACGUGGUAUCCUGUCUGAAUAUGGGGGGACCAUCCUCCAAGGCUAAAUACUCCUGACUGACCGAUAGUGAACCAGUACCGUGAGGGAAAGGCGAAAAGAACCCCGGCGAGGGGAGUGAAAAAGAACCUGAAACCGUGUACGUACAAGCAGUGGGAGCCUCUUUAUGGGGUGACUGCGUACCUUUUGUAUAAUGGGUCAGCGACUUAUAUUCUGUAGCAAGGUUAACCGUAUAGGGGAGCCGAAGGGAAACCGAGUCUUAACUGGGCGUUAAGUUGCAGGGUAUAGACCCGAAACCCGGUGAUCUAGCCAUGGGCAGGUUGAAGGUUGGGUAACACUAACUGGAGGACCGAACCGACUAAUGUUGAAAAAUUAGCGGAUGACCUGUGGCUGGGGGUGAAAGGCCAAUCAAACCGGGAGAUAGCUGGUUCUCCCCGAAAGCUAUUUAGGUAGCGCCUCGUGAACUCAUCUUCGGGGGUAGAGCACUGUUUCGGCUAGGGGGCCAUCCCGGCUUACCAACCCGAUGCAAACUACGAAUACCGAAGAAUGUUAUCACGGGAGACACACGGCGGGUGCUAACGUCCGUCGUGAAGAGGGAAACAACCCAGACCGCCAGCUAAGGUCCCAAAGUCAUGGUUAAGUGGGAAACGAUGUGGGAAGGCACAGACAGCCAGGAUGUUGGCUUAGAAGCAGCCAUCAUUUAAAGAAAGCGUAAUAG
rnacentral:rRNA from 1 species